rnacentral:rRNA from 1 species
UACGGGGGGGGCAAGCGUUGUUCGGAAUUACUGGGCGUAAAGGGCGCGUAGGCGGCCUGCUAAGUCGGGUGUGAAAACUCUGGGCUCAACCCAGAGCCUGCAUUCGAAACUGACGGGCUAGAGUUCUGGAGGGGAAAGCGGAAUUCCUGGUGUAGCGGUGAAAUGCGUAGAUAUCAGGAGGAACACCGGUGGCGAAGGCGGCUUUCUGGACAGAAACUGACGCUGAGGCGCGAAAGCUAGGGGAGCAAACAGG